AUUGAACGCUGGCGGAAUGCUUUACACAUGCAAGUCGAGCGGCAGCGCGGGGCAACCUGGCGGCGAGCGGCGAACGGGUGAGUAAUGCAUCGGAACGUACCCCGUCGUGGGGAAUAACUACCCGAAAGGGUAGCUAAUACCGCAUACGACCUGAGGGUGAAAGCGGGGGACCGAAAGGCCUCGCGCGAUGGGAGCGGCCGAUGCCGGAUUAGCUAGUUGGUAGGGUAAAGGCCUACCAAGGCGACGAUCCGUAGCUGGUCUGAGAGGACGACCAGCCACACUGGAACUGAGACACGGUCCAGACUCCUACGGGAGGCAGCAGUGGGGAAUUUUGGACAAUGGGCGAAAGACCUGAUCCAGCCAUUCCGCGUGAGUGAAG
rnacentral:rRNA from 1 species